rnacentral:rRNA from 1 species
AGCGAACGCUGGCGGCAGGCCUAACACAUGCAAGUCGAACGAACCUUUCGGGGUUAGUGGCGGACGGGUGAGUAACACGUGGGAACGUGCCUUUAGGUUCGGAAUAACUCAGGGAAACUUGUGCUAAUACCGAAUGUGCCCUUCGGGGGAAAGAUUAAUCGCCUUUAGAGCGGCCCGCGUCUGAUUAGCUAGUUGGUUGAGGUAAUGGCUCACCAAGGCGACGAUCAGUAGCUGGUCUGUGAGGAUGAUCAGCCACAUUGGGACUGAGACACGGCCCAAACUCCUACGGGAGGCAGCAGUGGGGAAUCUUGCGCAAGGGGCGAAAGCGUGACGCAGCCAUGCCGGGUGAAUGAUGAAGGUCUUAGGAUUGUACAAUUCUUUCACCGGGGACGAUAAUGACGGUACCCGGAGAAGAAGCCCCGGCUAACUUCGUG